AAGAUGGCCGGAGAGGCAGCAGCAGCCCCAGCUGUCAGGCGGCCUGCCGCGGCCCGCGGGCUCGCCGCUGCGCUGGGAGCCGUACCCCGGCGGCCCGGAGGGCUCUGGGAGAGCGGGGAGGCCGCGGCUGGGGCGAGGCGGCCGCGCGCGAAUGCGGGAGCUCGCGGCCGGAGCGCCCGGGGAGGCCCGGGCCCACGACGCCCGUGGCUCCGCUGCGGCAGCGGCGGCGCCGGUGGCGCGCGCGGCUGGGAGGCGGCUUCGCGCCGUGGGCGGGAGGCUGCGGCGGGCGACCGGUCCUGGACACGCGAGGAAGAGCGAGCCGAUGGCGCCUGCGGUCUCGCUUCGACCCGGUAACUUACAAGAUGAUAAUUCAUGUGGUUGCCGAUGAUUCUGAGUAUACACAGCUUUUAUCCCAGGUGUGCCAUUUUGAAGACUGAGACUAUAGAGUUUUAAGAAUAAAGGAGAGAGCCCUUGGGAAAUUCUGUAUUGUAUAUAGCAAGUAAGUUUUUUAAUUGUUAAAUUUGAAUAUUUGCCAACAUUUGGGUAGGAAUAUAUCAUUAAAGUUUGUCAAUGAGAAAAACUGUUGGACCUUGUAUAUAUAAAAA
ensembl:processed_transcript